rnacentral:rRNA from 1 species
AUGGCGCCCCCUCUCUCCUCCUGGCCAUGGGCGAGCCUGGGCAUAUACAAGGCACGCACCGAGCACCUCCUUUUUUCUCAUCCUCACCGUCUCAUGUUUUCCUCGUUGACUGACAUCUUCGUUGUGCUGCAUGAUCGGUGGUCGACGGACGGACGCGCGCAGUACUUCCUGCUGGGCCCGCUCGUGUGGAAGGUGGCGCAGGAGUGGGCGGAGCAGGGCGGCGCGCCGCUGGGCUCGCGGUGGCUGCACCUGCUGCUGCUCUUCUCCGCCCGCGGGCUGACGUACCAGUUCUGGUUCUCCUACAGCAACAUGCUCUUCCUCACCCGCCGCCGCCGUGUCGUCCCCGACGGCGUCGACUUCCGCCAGGUCGACCACGAGUGGGACUGGGAUAACUUCCUGGUGUUGCAAACGCUGAUUGGUGCGGCGCUGGUCAACGGCCCGCUGCCCCUCCCGGGACUGGAGGAUCUCCGCGUGUGGGACCCGCGGGGGCUGGGCAUCGCGCUGCUGCUGCAUGUGGGCUUCUCAGAGCCCGUGUUCUACUGGGCCCACCGGGCCCUUCACGGGACCCCGCUCUUCGGCCAGUACCACGCCGGGCACCACUCCACGGCGGUGACCCAGCCAUUGACAGCUGGAUUCGGCACGCCGUUGGAGGCCCUGCUGCUGACGCUGACGAUGGGGGUCCCGUUGGCAGGGGCCUUCCUGAUGGGGGCUGGGUCCCUGGGCCUGGUCUACGUGCACCUCCUCACGUUCGACUAUCUUCGGAGCAUGGGGUACAGCAACGUGGAGGUCAUCUCUCACAGGGUCUUCGAGGCUGUUCCUCCGCUCAGAUACCUCAUCUACACCCCGACGUAUCUGAGCCUGCACCACAGGGAGAAGGACUCCAAUUUCUGCCUGUUCAUGCCGCUCUUCGACCUCCUGGGCGGCACCCUAAACUCCAAGUCAUGGGAGCUGCAGAAGGAGAUCUACAAGGGGAAGAAUGAUCGGGUGCCGGAGUUCGUGUUCCUGGUGCACGUGGUGGACAUCAUGUCGUCGAUGCACGUCCCGUUCGUGCUGCGCUCCAUCUCCUCGGUGCCGUUCGAGAACCACCUCAUCCUGCUCCCCUUCUGGCCCGUGGCCUUGGUCUACGGGAUGCUCAUGUGGUGCUGCUCCAAGACCUUCCUCGUCAGCUUCUACUACCUCCGCGGCCGCCUCCACCAGACCUGGAGCGUGCCCCGCCACGGCUUCCAGUACUUCAUCCCGGCCGCCAAGGCCGGCAUCAACCGCCAGAUCGAGCUCGCCAUCCUCCGCGCAGACAGGAUGGGCGUCAAGGUCCUCAGCCUCGCCGCCCUCAACAAGAACGAGGCAUUGAAUGGAGGUGGCACCCUAUUCGUGGACAAGCACCCUGACCUGAGGGUGAGGGUGGUGCACGGCAACACCCUCACGGCCGCCGUGAUCCUGAACGAGAUCCCCAGCAACACCAAGGAGGUGUUCCUCACCGGCGCCACGUCCAAGCUCGGCAGGGCCAUCGCCCUCUACCUCUGCCGGAAAAGGAUCAGAGUCAUGAUGCUGACAAUGUCGUCGGAGAGGUUCCUGAAGAUCCAGAGGGAGGCGCCGGCGGAGUUCCAGCAGUACCUCGUGCAGGUCACCAAGUACCAGGCCGCGCAGAACUGCAAGACGUGGAUCGUGGGCAAGUGGCUGUCGCCGAGGGAGCAGCGGUGGGCGCCGCCGGGGACGCACUUCCACCAGUUCGCCGUGCCACCCAUCAUCGGCUUCCGCCGCGACUGCACCUACGGCAAGCUCGCCGCCAUGAGGCUCCCCAAGGACGUGCAGGGCCUCGGCUCCUGCGAGUACACUAUGGAGCGAGGGGUGGUGCACGCGUGCCACGCCGGCGGAGUGGUGCACUUCCUGGAGGGGUGGGAGCACCACGAGGUGGGCGCGCUCGACGUCGACCGGAUCGACGUCGUGUGGAAGGCGGCGCUCAAGCACGGGCUGACGCCGGUGUGA